UAUGAAUUAUUCUAAUUAAGAUUUUACUAAAUUGAAAUACAUUGAUGUGUUAACUCCUACUAAUUCAGAAGGGUCAAUCUCAUUUUGACUCACGCACCGACUUGACAAGUAUUUGACGUCUCCAGAAACCUUUCAUUACUGAAUUAGAAAUUCAGAUAGUCUGGUACUAAAGUACAUUGAGUUGCUUGUAAGUCAUCGUGAUGAUC
rnacentral:lncRNA from 1 species